rnacentral:rRNA from 1 species
GAUCAUGGCUCAGGAUGAACGCUGGCGGCGUGCUUAACACAUGCAAGUCGAACGGGAAACAUUUUAUUGAAGCUUCGGCAGAUUUAGCUUGUUUCUAGUGGCGGACGGGUGAGUAACGCGUGGGUAACCUGCCUUAUACCGGGGGAUAACAGCCAGAAAUGGCUGCUAAUACCGCAUAAGCGCACAGAACCGCAUGGUUCCGUGUGAAAAACUCCGGUGGUAUAAGAUGGACCCGCGUUGGAUUAG